rnacentral:tRNA from 1 species
GGGAUUGUAGCUCAGUGGCAGAGUGCUUGCCUUGCACGCGUGAGGCCCUGGGUUCAAUCCUCAGCACCA